rnacentral:lncRNA from 1 species
GUAUCAAAAAUUACUUCACAUUAUAAAAAAGCUUUGGUGUGUAAUAACUAGGUAAAAACUGUAAUUUUAUGAAUGGCUAAUGGCAGUUAUGGGGGGAUAUGCUGCUCUUUGCACAUUUGGAUCAGAGAAGCAUGCUCUUGGCCACCUAAAAGUUAAAUCUGCCUCUGACUCCUUUAGGUGUGGAUUCCCUUUAAAACUAAAGGGGCCAUCAAGAAUCCUGGCCAUGCAGAAAUGAUUCCAUGGCAAAGGCCAGAAAUUCUUAGGACUCCGUCCGGUUUCCCGUGGGCCUAGGAGCAGGGCCCUGGGGCCACCACCCUCACCUCCCUGCCUCCAUCUCAGAAACUGAAGCCUGGGAGCCCCCGGGCCACCUGAGUCUGGGAGAUGCAAGCCAAUCCCGGGGACAGGCCCCGGCCCCUUCCUAGUGAGGGGCACGCUCUGGUCAAUCGUGGGGCAGAGAAAUUUGCUUUUUAACAUAAAACGUAUCCUUUGUCCCUAGAAUGACAGGCUACCUCCCUGCCUUAUUCUGUGAAGAUGUAGUUCUUUUAUUAGCAGAGCUUAUUCUGAAGGUAGAAUAACAAUAAAUAUAUAAGCAGUUGGAGAGUAAAAUUAUUACAGUAUUCAAGUCUAAAUAUAUUACAAAUGCCAAGUUUUAUUGGAAAAUUAUAUAUAAAAUUCUUAUAUACAUUUUAGUAAGCCUCCAUCUUAGUAUCUAAAACUUCAUCCACUUUAAUUACCAGAAGGCCAUGUAUUUGACUUUUACAAUCAGUUACAUUUUCUUUUAAAAUAAGUUCUGCUGUGGUUUGAAUGUAUCCCCCAAAGUUCACAUGUUGGAAAAUUAAUCCCCAAUGCAACAGUGUUG